rnacentral:lncRNA from 1 species
UAUUCCUUGCUUGAAGGGCGUUGCUGGGAGUGACUGACGUAAUCAGGCAUGUCUCACCAGUACUCCCCCCUGAAGAGAGUAUGGUUGAACACCCGUGUACCGCCAGUAUCCCCCCCCCAAGCAAGGUGAUCCGCAUCAAGGCCAAAGCGACAAGAUGGGAUCGAGUCAAUGUGGCCACAGCGACACAAUGACUCCGUUACCCAUGCACUAUCAGAUGGGUUGAUUCACUAUCAGAAUCUAGUUCCAGG